UCACAGUUUGCACUGGCAGUCUUGUUAGAGUUCCCGACAUGACUCGCUGGCAACUAACAACAGGGGUUGCGCUCGUUAUAGGACUUAACCUGACACCUCACGGCACGAGCUGACGACAACCAUGCAGCACCUUGUAAAUUGUCUUGCGAAAGUUCUGUUUCCAAAACGGUCAAUCUACAUUUAAGCCUUGGUAAGGUUCCUCGCGUAUCAUCGAAUUAAACCACAUGCUCCACCGCUUGUGCGGGCCCCCGUCAAUUCCUUUGAGUUUCAUUCUUGCGAACGUACUCCCCAGGCGGCGAACUUAACGCGUUAGCUUCGACACUGAUCUCCGAGUUGAGACCAACGGCUAGCCUCCAUCGUUUACAGCGUGGACUAC
rnacentral:misc_RNA from 1 species